UUAGAGAUCACCAGCAAUAUUUGCAAUAAAAUUUAACUUAGGGGAAAAACUGGCUGCAACUUAAGACAAGGUGUGGCCUUCAUGGACAGGUUUUACAGUUAACAGGUUUUGAGUCGAAGAAUGCAUCACAAAACAUGUAAGAGUUGGGGUUUGCUCGGUGAUUGUAAAUACUGUGAUUGAUUUACCAAAAUAAAGUAUGCAUUGAGCAGAGUGAAUUUCAGAGAAUAUCCAGCUGAGGUGAUGGAUGUCCCAACCAUUACAGGUCUAGCAUAGCAUCUUGACAAAUAAAGCGGUAAAGAGGGUAUGGCUGCAUUCAAUCGGAGGUAAAUUCAGAAUUCAAAGAACUAUUUUACAGGAUCAUUUGGAUGAAUC
rnacentral:lncRNA from 1 species